rnacentral:rRNA from 1 species
UACGGAGGGGGCGAGCGUUGUCCGAAUUUAUUGGGCGUAAAGCGCGUGUAGGCGGAUUUUCAAGCCUGAGGUGAAAGGUUGGGGCUCAACCCCAUACAGUGCCUUGGGGACUGAAAGUCUGGAGGCCGGCAGAGGAGAGUGGAAUUCCUGGUGUAGCGGUGGAAUGCGUAGAGAUCAGGAAGAACACCCAUGGCGAAGGCAGCUCUCUGGGCCGGUACUGACGCUGAGACGCGAAAGCGUGGGGAGCGAACGGG